ACAUUUUAUAAAUUAAUGUAUUUCAAUGGGAAGCAUCUUUUUUGAUCACAGCACGAUUCUCAAUGAUAAGAUAACGUAGCAUUAGGACUACGGUAGUAUGAAAGGGUAAAAUUCUG